UGGGGAGUCGCCAAGUGGUAAGGCAGCUGUUUUUGGUACAGCCAUACGAGGGUUCGAAUCCUUCCUCCCCAGCCA
rnacentral:tRNA from 3 species